rnacentral:rRNA from 1 species
UGGCUCAGAUUGAACGCUGGCGGCAGGCUUAACACAUGCAAGUCGAGCGGGGGAAGGUAGCUUGCUACUGGACCUAGCGGCGGACGGGUGAGUAAUGCUUAGGAAUCUGCCUAUUAGUGGGGGACAACAUCUCGAAAGGGAUGCUAAUACCGCAUACGUCCUACGGGAGAAAGCAGGGGAUCUUCGGACCUUGCGCUAAUAGAUGAGCCUAAGUCGGAUUAGCUAGUUGGUGGGGUAAAGGCCUACCAAGGCGACGAUCUGUAGCGGGUCUGAGAGGAUGAUCCGCCACACUGGGACUGAGACACGGCCCAGACUCCUACGGGAGGCAGCAGUGGGGAAUAUUGGACAAUGGGGGGAACCCUGAUCCAGCCAUGCCGCGUGUGUGAAGAAGGCCUUAUGGUUGUAAAGCACUUUAAGCGAGGAGGAGGCUACUCUAGUUAAUACCUAGAGAUAGUGGACGUUACUCGCAGAAUAAGCACCGGCUAACUCUGUGCCAGCAGCCGCGGUAAUACAGAGGGUGCGAGCGUUAAUCGGAUUUACUGGGCGUAAAGCGUGCGUAGGCGGCUUAUUAAGUCGGAUGUGAAAUCCCCGAGCUUAACUUGGGAAUUGCAUUCGAUACUGGUAAGCUAGAGUAUGGGAGAGGAUGGUAGAAUUCCAGGUGUAGCGGUGAAAUGCGUAAAGAUCUGGAGGAAUACCGAUGGCGAAGGCAGCCAUCUGGCCUAAUACUGACGCUGAGGUACGAAAGCAUGGGGAGCAAACAGGAUUAGAUACCCUGGUAGUCCAUGCCGUAAACGAUGUCUACUAGCCGUUGGGGCCUUUGAGGCUUUAGUGGCGCAGCUAACGCGAUAAGUAGACCGCCUGGGGAGUACGGUCGCAAGACUAAAACUCAAAUGAAUUGACGGGGGCCCGCACAAGCGGUGGAGCAUGUGGUUUAAUUCGAUGCAACGCGAAGAACCUUACCUGGCCUUGACAUACUAGAAACUUUCCAGAGAUGGAUUGGUGCCUUCGGGAAUCUAGAUACAGGUGCUGCAUGGCUGUCGUCAGCUCGUGUCGUGAGAUGUUGGGUUAAGUCCCGCAACGAGCGCAACCCUUUUCCUUACUUGCCAGCAUUUCGGAUGGGAACUUUAAGGAUACUGCCAGUGACAAACUGGAGGAAGGCGGGGACGACGUCAAGUCAUCAUGGCCCUUACGGCCAGGGCUACACACGUGCUACAAUGGUCGGUACAAAGGGUUGCUACACAGCGAUGUGAUGCUAAUCUCAAAAAGCCGAUCGUAGUCCGGAUUGGAGUCUGCAACUCGACUCCAUGAAGUCGGAACCGCUAGUAAUCGCGGAUCAGAAUGCCGCGGUGAAUACGUUCCCGGGCCUUGUACACACCGCCCGUCACACCAUGGGAGUUUGUUGCACCAGAAGUAGCUAGCCUAACUGCAAAGAGGGCGGUUACCACGGUGUGGCCGAUGACUGGGGUGAAGUCGUAACAAGGUAGCCGUAGGGGAACCUGCGG